rnacentral:lncRNA from 1 species
UUUUUUUUUUGGUCUUUUUAGGGCCACACCUGCAGCAUAUGGAGGUUCCCAGGCUAGGGGUCUAAUCAGAGCUACAGCUGCCAGUCUACACCACAGCUCACAGCAAUGCCGGAUCCUUAAUCCACUGAGCGAGGCCAGGGAUCGAACCUGCAACCUCAUGGUUCCUCAUUGGAUUCGUUACUGCUGCGCCACCAUGGGAAUUCCGACACUGCAGUCUUCUAUCACCGGCAUUUUCUUUUCAAUUCUCCUUUAUCAGUGGCUCACAUUCCCCAACUUAACUUCUAAAAGCUGGAUCAGCCCCAAAGUUCUCUCCUUGUCUACAGGAUGGCAGGAGAUGCUACACGCCACUGAACGCAUCCUCCCCUGCCCAGCAAGAGGGCUGUCGUCUGGCACCCAACGGCUAGCCUCUCUACACUUCCCAGAAGGCCCUGAGUCAGCUAUGACCGUAUGGACAGGUCCUCACCUCACCAACAGGCUGUGAACAGAAGCGGGAUGUGCCAUUUCUGGCCAAAGUGGCUAUGAUCUGGCUUUGAUAAAACAGACAAUACUCGGGAGUUCCCUUGUGGCUCAGGGGGUUAAGGACCUGGUAUUGUCCCUGCAGCUUUGGGUCCUGGUGUGGCACAGGUUCAAUCCCCAGCCUGGGAACUUUCACAGGUCACAGUUUCGGCCAAAAAAAAAAAACAAACAAAAAAGCAUAGCCUGAGAGAAAGCAACACGAUAGGAGGGAAAUGAUCCCUGAGUGGUCAUGAAGCGAAGCCACCAGAUGACCGGGAAAUGGACGGCUGAACAAGGGAAAAAGAGAGGCCACUCCUGUCGGAGCCGUUACGCCUUCCUUGCGUCUGUUACAGCAGCGCAGCCUUCACACCUGACUAACUCAAGCAUCAUACGUGCUCCCUAGACAAUCUCAGUCCUGUGUCUUCACCAUUUACCCAGACUACUUUUAAACCUUGACCCAGAAUGCAAGUGCUGACCUCCUUCCGGAACUGCAGACGUGCACCCAGCUGCCUCCUGGACACACCCACAUGGACGUCCAAGAGUUACUGCAAACCCCCAACUGCCCGGAGGGCUCUCGGCUCUUCCGGCCCCCGGCUCGGCUUUCCUGAGUUCCCGGGUUUUCUCCACUCCAGUCACCUCCUCCAGCCACGGCUGGUACCCCUGACUCCAUGUCCUGCUCUCCCAGGCAAUUUCAGCCUUCUUUGUCCUUCCACAAGCCCAGCUGGUUCCUGCCUCAGGGCAUUUGCACCACCAGUUCUCUCCAGCUGGACCGCCUUUCCUUCUACCUUUGCGAGGCCGGCUCUCCUUCCUCCCGGGAGACCUCGGUUUAAACAGCACCUCCUCAGACGGGGCUUCCUUACAAUCCAAACGCGAACCCUCCUCUGGCGAUCGGCUCCCACAUCACUGUUUCAAUUCCCUGCACAGCACUUACUAGUUGCUGGUAUUUUCCUUACGUUUACUUACUUAUCCAACAAAUACUUACAAAGUCCUAACUAUGUCCCAGGCACUGAUCUAGAUGGGGAUACAGCCAUGAACAAAAACCAGCUCCCCUCCUGAGAAAACACCGAGUACAGCAGAUGGUAAUAAAUGCUACAGAGAAAAAAAUAAAGCAGGGUUAUGGCAUGGAAGUGCACACACCAGGGACAGCAAUAAAUUUUUUUCUUUUUAAGGCCACACCUGCAGCAUAUGGAAAUUCCCGGGCUAGGGGACAAAUAAGAGCUGCAGCUGCCAGUCUACACCACAGCCACAGGGUCGAGCCACAGCCACUGUAGAAGCAACGCCGAGUAGUUAUGUUGUGAGCCACACGGGAAGUCC